rnacentral:rRNA from 1 species
UACAGAGGGGGCGAGCGUUGUUCGGAAUUACUGGGCGUAAAGGGCGCGUAGGCGGCCUGCUAAGUCGAACGUGAAAUCCCCGGGCUCAACCCGGGAACUGCGUCCGAUACUGGAUGGCUUGAGAUUGGGAGAGGGACGCGGAAUUCCAGGUGUAGCGGUGAAAUGCGUAGAUAUCUGGAGGAACACCGGUGGCGAAGGCGGCGUCCUGGACCAACACUGACACUGAUGAGCGAAAGCCAGGGGAGCAAACGGG